rnacentral:rRNA from 1 species
AUUGAACGCUGGCGGCAUGCUCUACACAUGCAAGUCGAACGGCAGCACGGGCUUCGGCCUGGUGGCGAGUGGCGAACGGGUGAGUAAUGCAUCGGAACGUACCGUGUAGUGGGGGAUAACGUAGCGAAAGUUACGCUAAUACCGCAUACGCCCCGAGGGGGAAAGUGGGGGACCGCAAGGCCUCACGCUAUAUGAGCGGCCGAUGUCGGAUUAGCUAGUUGGUAGGGUAAAGGCCUACCAAGGCGACGAUCCGUAGCGGGUCUGAGAGGAUGAUCCGCCACACUGGGACUGAGACACGGCCCAGACUCCUACGGGAGGCAGCAGUGGGGAAUUUUGGACAAUGGGCGCAAGCCUGAUCCAGCCAUGCCGCGUGAGUGAAGAAGGCCUUCGGGUUGUAAAGCUCUUUCAGACGGAAAGAAAUCUCUCAGGAUAAUACCUUGGGAGGAUGACGGUACCGUAAGAAUAAGCACCGGCUAACUACGUGCCAGCAGCCGCGGUAAUAC